UAAAGUAGUAGUGGAUUAACAGUUUUAAAUCAGAUUAUUCCCAGGCACUGUAUCGCACCGUUCUACCAGAAUUCACAAAUCUACAAUGUCGCUCAGACUUAUCGCUCUUGCUGUUCUUCUCAUCACCACCAUGGUCGUAUGCCAUCCAACCCCCGACGGUGAGGUUGACAAAGGCGUAAAACAAGUGACCGACUUCUUGACUCAAUUGCAGGCAAGUGUGAACCAAUUGGCGUCGUCUUUAGCCGACACCGAAGCUUUCAAACACUUACAGAAGUUCGGAGAUGAUGUUUCCGCAAAAGGAAAAGAACUCCAGGAAAAAUUCGCUGAAACACUUCAAAACAUGGCACAAAAGCCAACACCAGCCAAUUAAAAACAUUUAUAUUGGCCCAAUUUAAUUUCAAACCAUUUUAUUGUUGUUUUCAUUGCCAUUUGUUUCUGUAAAUAAAAAUAAUAAAAUUUCAUGUGUUUUUA